rnacentral:rRNA from 1 species
AUGCAGCCACUCAGUCGCUCACACAGGAACGGUUAUCCCGUUCCUUUCUUCGGUUUGGCUCUUGUGUUACUGGUUUGCUUGAAUUCUCCCACCAGUUCCUGCACAGACCAGGAGAAGAGCUCCCUACUCCAGCUCCUCACUGGGCUCUCGAGCGAUGGUGGCCUCACAGCAUCGUGGCGAAUCGACACGGACUGUUGCACGUGGGAAGGGAUCACCUGCAACCAAGAUAGGACGGUCACUGAUGUUUCGCUGGCAUCUCGAGGCCUAAAGGGGUCCAUCUCACCGUUCCUUGGCAACCUCACUGGUCUUUUGCGCCUCAACCUGUCCCAGAACUCGCUGUCCGGUGGGUUGCCACUGGAAUUAGUGUCAUCCAGCAGCAUCCUCGUUCUUGAUGUCAGCUUCAACUGCCUGACAGGAGGCCUGAGUGAGUUGCCAUCUUCAACCCCUGCACGGCCUCUGCAGGUACUGAACAUCUCAAGUAACUGUUUUACAGGAAGGUUUCCAUCCACAACAUGGGAGGUGAUGAAGAGCCUGGUCGUGCUUAAUGCUAGCACCAACAGUUUCACUGGGCAGAUACCCACUACGCCCUGUGUUAGCGCGCCAUCUUUGCUGUGCUUGAACUCAGUUUCAACCAACUCAGUGGAAACAUCCCUCCAGGACUCAGUAAUUGCUUGGCGUUGA